rnacentral:rRNA from 1 species
CCUUGACAUACUAAGAACUUUCCAGAGAUGGAUUGGUGCCUUCGGGAACUUAGAUACAGGUGCUGCAUGGCUGUCGUCAGCUCGUGUCGUGAGAUUGUUGGGUUAAGUCCCGCAACGAGCGCAACCCUUUUCCUUAUUUGCCAGCGGGUCAUGCCGGGAACUUUAAGGAUACUGCCAGUGACAAACUGGAGGAAGGCGGGGACGACGUCAAGUCAUCAUGGCCCUUACGGCCAGGGCUACACACGUGCUACAAUGGUCGGUACAAAGGGUUGCUACCUCGCGAGAGGAUGCUAAUCUCAAAAAGCCGAUCGUAGUCCGGAUCGCAGUCUGCAACUCGACUGCGUGAAGUCGGAAUCGCUAGUAAUCGCGGAUCAGAAUGCCGCGGUGAAUACGUUCCCGGGCCUUGUACACACCGCCCGUCACACCAUGGGAGUUUGUUGCACCAGAAGUAGGUAGUCUAACCGCAAGGAGGACGCUUACCACGGUGUGGCCGAUGACUGGGGUGAAGUCGUAACAAGGUAAGCGUAGAUGA